AUGAUGAAGAAGAAUUCAGUGGUUGCUAUGAUGGUUUUGUUUCUUAUAGUAUUUUCUGAAAUGGAUAGCGUUGUUCCAGAUGCUUCCGAUUGCUUAGAUGGUUGCUCCACUGCAUGCGUUUCAAGAGACUCGAGGCUUACGGCAAGGUGUGAGCGAAAGUGCCAGAUUAGAUGCGGUCCAGAUUCUAUGCUGGACAAAGUCAUGGAUUAA
rnacentral:lncRNA from 1 species